CGUUAACGCUGGCGGUAUGCCUAACACAUGCAAGUCGAACGGCCGCACAGUAAGAGCUUGCUCUUACGGGUGGCGAGUGGCGGACGGGUGAGGAAUACAUCGGCAUCUACUUUUUCGUGGGGGAUAACGGAGGGAAACUUACGCUAAUACCUCAUACGACCUACGGGUGAAAGCAGUGGAUCUUCGGACCUUGCGCGAUUGAAUGAGCCGAUGUCGGAUUAGCUAGUUGGCGGGGUAAAGUCCCACCAAGGCGACGAUUCGUAGCUGGUCUGAGAGGAUGAUCAGCCACACUGGAACUGAGACACGGUCCAGACUCCUACGGGAGGCAGCAGUGGGGAAUAUUGGACAAUGGGCGCAAGCCUGAUCCAGCCAUACCGCGUGAGUGAAGAAGGCCUUCGGGUUGUAAAGCCCUUUUGUUGGGAAAGAAAAGCAGCAGGUUAAUACCCCGCUGUUCUGACGGUACCCAAAGAAUAAGCACCGGCUAACUUCGUG
rnacentral:rRNA from 1 species